rnacentral:rRNA from 1 species
GAGCUAACGCGUUAAGUCGACCGCCUGGGGAGUACGGCCGCAAGGUUAAAACUCAAAUGAAUUGACGGGGGCCCGCACAAGCGGUGGAGCAUGUGGUUUAAUUCGAUGCAACGCGAAGAACCUUACCUACUCUUGACAUCCAGCGAACUUGCCAGAGAUGGCUUGGUGCCUUCGGGAACGCUGAGACAGGUGCUGCAUGGCUGUCGUCAGCUCGUGUUGUGAAAUGUUGGGUUAAGUCCCGCAACGAGCGCAACCCUUAUCCUUUGUUGCCAGCGAUUCGGUCGGGAACUCAAAGGAGACUGCCGGUGAUAAACCGGAGGAAGGUGGGGAUGACGUCAAGUCAUCAUGGCCCUUACGAGUAGGGCUACACACGUGCUACAAUGGCGCAUACAAAGAGAAGCGACCUCGCGAGAGCAAGCGGACCUCAUAAAGUGCGUCGUAGUCCGGAUCGGAGUCUGCAACUCGACUCCGUGAAGUCGGAAUCGCUAGUAAUCGUGGAUCAGAAUGCCACGGUGAAUACGUUCCCGGGCCUUGUACACACCGCCCGUCACACCAUGGGAGUGGGUUGCAAAAGAAGUAGGUAGCUUAACCUUCGGGAGGGCGCU